rnacentral:rRNA from 1 species
GACGAACGCUGGCGGCGUGCCUAAUACAUGCAAGUCGAGCGAUGAAGACUGGUGCUUGCACCAAUUUGAAGAGCAGCGAACGGGUGAGUAACGCGUGGGGAAUCUGCCUUUGAGCGGGGGACAACAUUUGGAAACGAAUGCUAAUACCGCAUAACAACUUUAAACAUAAGUUUUAAGUUUGAAAGAUGCAAUUGCAUCACUCAAAGAUGAUCCCGCGUUGUAUUAGCUAGUUGGUGAGGUAAAGGCUCACCAAGGCGAUGAUACAUAGCCGACCUGAGAGGGUGAGCGGCCACAUUGGGACGGGGACACGGCCCAAACUCCUACGGGAGGCAGCAGUAGGGAAUCUUCGGCAAGGGACGAAAGUCUGAACGAGCAACGCCGCGUGAGGGAAGAAGGUUGUCGGAUCGUAAAACUCUGUUGGUAGAGAGGAACGUUGGUGAGAGUGGAAAGCUCAGCAAGUGACGGUAACUACACAGAAAGGGACGGCUAACUACGUG